rnacentral:rRNA from 1 species
UGGGGAAUAUUGGACAAUGGGCGCAAGCCUGAUCCAGCCAUGCCGCGUGAGUGAUGAAGGCCCUAGGGUUGUAAAGCUCUUUCACCGGUGAAGAUAAUGACGGUAACCGGAGAAGAAGCCCCGGCUAACUUCGUGCCAGCAGCCGCGGUAAUACGAAGGGGGCUAGCGUUGUUCGGAUUUACUGUGCGUAAAGCGCACGUAGACGGACUAUUAAGUCAGGGGUGAAAUCCCGGGGCUCAACCCCGGAACUGCCUUUGAUACUGGUAGUCUUGAGUUCGAGAGAGGUGAGUGGAAUUCCGAGUGUAGAGGUGAAAUUCGUAGAUAUUCGGAGGAACACCAGUGGCGAAGGCGGCUCACUGGCUCGAUACUGACGCUGAGGUGCGAAAGCGUGGGGAGCAAACAGG